GAUAACCUCGGGAAACUGGGUAUAAUACCCGAUAGGUCUCGAUUGCUGGAAUGCAUCGAGAUUUAAAGCUCCGGCGCCUAAGGAUGGGUCUGCGGCCUAUCAGGUAGUAGUGGGUGUAGCGUACCUACUAGCCUACGACGGGUACGGGUUGUGAGAGCAAGAGCCCGGAGAUGGAUUCUGAGACACGAAUCCAGGCCCUACGGGGUGCAGCAGGCGCGAAAACUUUACAAUGCUGGCAACAGCGAUAAGGGAACCUCGAGUGCCAGGUUACAAAUCUGGCUGUCGAGAUGCCUAAAAAGCAUUUCGUAGCAAGGGCCGGGCAAGACCGGUGCCAGCCGCCGCGGUAACACCGGCGGCUCGAGUGGUAACCGUUAUUAUUGGGUCUAAAGGGUCUGUAGCCGGCCGGAUAAGUCUCUUGAGAAAUCUGGCAGCUUAACUGUCAGGCUUUCAGGAGAUACUGUCUGGCUCGAGGCCGGGAGAGGUGAGAGGUACUUCAGGGGUAGGGGUGAAAUCUUGUAAUCCUUGAAGGACCACCAGUGGCGAAGGCGUCUCACCAGAACGGACCUGACGGCAAGGGACGAAAGCUAGGGGCACGAACCGGAUUAGAUACCCGGGUAGUCCUAGCCGUAAACGAUACUCGCUAGGUGUCGGCCACGGUGCGACCGUUGUCGGUGCCGUAGGGAAGCCGUGAAGCGAGCCACCUGGGAAGUACGGCCGCAAGGCUGAAACUUAAGGGAAUUGGCGGGGGAGCACCACAACGGGUGGAGCUUGCGGUUUAAUUGGAUUCAACGCCGGAAAUCUUACCGGGACCGACAGCAAUAUGAAGGCCAGGCUGAAGACUUUGCCGGAUUAGCUGAGAGUGGUGCAU
rnacentral:rRNA from 1 species